rnacentral:rRNA from 1 species
AACGCUGGCGGCGUGCCUAAUACAUGCAAGUCGAACGGUCUUUCUAUGGAAGCUUGCUUCCACUGAGAAGAUAGUGGCGAACGGGUGAGUAACAACGUGGGUAACCUGCCCAUAAGAGGGGGAUAACAUCCGGAAACGGGUGCUAAUACCGCAUAGUUUUCUUGAUCGCAUGAUUGAGAAAGGAAAGACGGCCUUUGUGCUGUCGCUUAUGGAUGGACCCGCGGCGUAUUAGUUAGUUGGUGAGGUAACGGCUCACCAAGACGAUGAUACGUAGCCGACCUGAGAGGGUGAUCGGCCACAUUGGGACUGAGACACGGCCCAAACUCCUACGGGAGGCAGCAGUAGGGAAUCUUCCGCAAUGGACGAAAGUCUGACGGAGCAACGCCGCGUGAGUGAAAGAAGGUUUUCGGAUCGUAAAACUCUGUUGUCAGAGAAGAACAAGUUGGAGAGUAACUGCUCCAGCCUUGACGGUAUCUGACCAGAAAGCCACGGCUAACUACGUGCCAGCCGCCGC